UACAGAGGAGCCAAGCGUUGUCCGGAUUGACUGGGCGUAAAGCGCACGCAGGCGGCGGUGCGCGUGGGGUGUGAAAUCUGGCCGCUUAACGGCCAGGCGCCAUCCCAUACGGCACGACUGGAGGGCUGCAGAGGUCGAUGGAAUUGCCGGUGUAGUGGUGAAAUGCGUAGAGAUCGGCAGGAACACCCAGGGGGAAACCAGUCGACUGGGCAGCACCUGACGCUGAGGUGCGAGAGCGUGGGGAGCGAACCGG
rnacentral:rRNA from 1 species